rnacentral:rRNA from 1 species
GUAGGGGGCGAGCGUUGUCCGGAAUUACUGGGCGUAAAGGGAGCGUAGGCGGUCGAUUAAGUUAGAUGUGAAACACCCGGGCUUAACUUGGGGACUGCAUCUAAUACUGGUUGACUUAGAGUACAGGAGAGGGAAGCGGAAUUCCUAGUGUAGCGGUGAAAUGCGUAGAUAUUAGGAGGAACACCAGUGGCGAAGGCGGCUUUCUGGACUGACACUGACGCUGAGGCUCGAAAGCGUGGGGAGCAAACAGGAUUAGAUACCCUGGUAGUCCACGCUGUAAACGAUGAAUACUAGGUGUAGGGGGUAUCAACUCCCUCCGUGCCGCAGUUAACACAAUAAGUAUUCCACCUGGGGAGU